GAUGAACGCUAGCGGCAGGCUUAAUACAUGCAAGUCGUGGGGCAGCAUGAGUAGCAAUACUUGAUGGCGACCGGCAAACGGGUGCGGAACACGUACACAACCUUCCUAUAAGUGGGGAAUAGCCCAGAGAAAUUUGGAUUAAUACCCCGUAACAUAACGAUAUGGCAUCAUAUUGUUAUUAUAGCUUCGGCGCUUAUUGAUGGGUGUGCGGCUGAUUAGAUAGUUGGCGGGGUAACGGCCCACCAAGUCUACGAUCAGUAGCUGAUGUGAGAGCAUGAUCAGCCACACGGGCACUGAGACACGGGCCCGACUCCUACGGGAGGCAGCAGUAAGGAAUAUUGGACAAUGGGCGAAAGCCUGAUCCAGCCAUGCCGCGUGAAGGAUUAAGGUCCUCUGGAUUGUAAACUUCUUUUAUUUGGGACGAAAAAAGGGAAUUCUUUCCCACUUGACGGUACCAGAUGAAUAAGCACCGGCUAACUCCGUGCCAGCAGCCGCGGUAAUACGGAGGGUGCAAGCGUUAUCCGGAUUCACUGGGUUUAAAGGGUGCGUAGGCGGGUAGGUAAGUCAGUGGUGAAAUCCUGGAGCUCAACUCCAGAACUGCCAUUGAUACUAUCUAUCUUGAAUAUUGUGGAGGUAAGCGGAAUAUGUCAUGUAGCGGUGAAAUGCUUAGAUAUGACAUAGAACACCCAUUGCGAAGGCAGCUUACUACGCAUAUAUUGACGCUGAGGCACGAAAGCGUGGGGAUCAAACAGGAUUAGAUACCCUGGUAGUCCACGCCCUAAACGAUGAUUACUCGACAUUUGUGAUACACUAUAAGUGUCUGAGCG
rnacentral:rRNA from 1 species